rnacentral:sRNA from 1 species
CGGCAAUUUAGGGCGAAGAUUCUGGCAGACUUCAUCUCUGCAGGUGUCGUUGGCCAAUCAGGGCGCCUGUUUGCGAUGUUUCAUGGAGUGACAAGGGAGUGGGAGAUCUGGUGAAGCUGGUGUGGUAGGCAUCUGUUAACAACUUUACGGAGUGCUGGACAGACAGACAUCCUGAAGUCUGAACCUGAAGUCUGAACCUGAAGUCUGAACCUGGUACGGAUACAAAUCUCUCGUUCCAUGUACCGCCAUGUGUGCCAUGUUCCACCUGCGCCUCGAUCUGCCCGCGCGGUCUGCGUAUGCACUCAGUUUAUUUUGCAAUUUUGCAAUAAUUAGUUACCCAAGGCUCCACGCGGCCCUUGGCUGAUCCCGGCCAAGGGAUUGUCACACUACGGAGUACUCGCUUACUUGGUUAUCAUCCUUUUCAACGAACCACACGGCGUAGUUGACUAGUUACUGUUUCAUUGCCAGAUUGUUCGAGUUGAGCUCCUUUUGCUCCAGCGACAACAACAACAACAACAACAACAGCAGCAGCAGCAGCAACAAGCUGGAGAAUGGCAUUCGAGAUUCAGCCAUGCUCUCGAAAUAUUCCGACGUCUCCAUCGUAGAUCUAUUCCCCCUGUCUCGUUCGGCGGAUUAUUAUCUCAUCUGAAGUGACCGAAAGCAAUCAAAUAACGGCCCGUUUUCGCCGUUGGCUUCUGCAUACAAUCAGAUCAGUCUAUGCAGCAGUCAAAAAUCAAAUGAUCAAUUAUGAUUUAUAAAUACAUACAUACAUACAUACAUACAUAUAUAUAUAUAUAUACAUCAUACUGACAAUAAAGAAAUAGACGGGAGAGCUCACGCAUAGUAAUAGAACCUGCAAUCCCCCCUUCACCGCCGCCACGAACUCCCUCCCGCCCGCCAUGGCUUCGAGCUCCCCGUGCCCUCGUCAACAACCGCAUCGCCCACCCUUCCACUCCAACCAUCUUAUAUGUAUGUACUCCGUACAGAGUAUGUAGUAUGUAUGUGUGUAUUACCUGUGUGUUCUUGCUUAUGGGGCGCAUUUGCAGUGCCGUCCAUACCAUACCCCAAUUGAUUCUUUCCUUUCUUCAACGACGGCAUCUGUUGGCGGGAAGGGGUUUGCUCAAUUUUUUAAAAAAAAAAAAUAAAAAAUAAAAAAAAUAAAUAAAAUAAUACCAGCACUAUUUACUUACUUGGGGACUCUAACUCGCUUUAUCAAUCAAUUUAUCGGGG